UGUUUGUGUGUGUGUGUGUUUGUAUAUAUAUAUAUAUAUAUAUAUAUAUAUAUACACACACACACAUAUACACAUAUA